GUCCCAGCAACAGCGGUCAUACAGGUACAGCCGAGUGUUAUCCUAUAUGGUAACCAGGCGUCAAUAGCGGUC
rnacentral:rRNA from 1 species